CGGUUAAAACGCUCGUAGUUGGAUAUUUGUAGAGAACUGCCGGUCUACCCCAGUGGUCAGCACACGGUCUGUUCUCGGCACUUUCCUGGGGAGAGUGUUUGCACUUCACUGUGUGGCACAUGAUCCAGAACUUUUACUUUGAGGAAAUGAGAGUGUUUCAAGCAGGCGCCUGUCGUGAAUACGUUAGCAUGGAAUAAUAGCAUGGGACCGCGGUCUGAAGCUGUUGGUUUUUGGGCCGUGGUAAUGAAAAUAGGGAUAGUUGGGGGUAUUCCUAUUUAACUGUCAGAGGUGAAAUUCUUGGAUUUUUUAAAGACGGACUACUGCGAAAGCAUCUGCCCAGGAUGUUUUUAUUGAUCAAGAACGAAAGUUAGGGGAUCGAAGACGAUCAGAUACCGUCCUAGUCUUAACCAUAAACCUUGCCGACUAGAGAUUUGGGUCGUCAGAAUCGUGACGCCCUGAGCACCUUAGGGGAAACCAAAGUCUUCGGGUUCCGGGGGGAGUAUGGUCGCAAGGCUGAAACUUAAAGGAAUUGACGGAAGGGCACCACCAGGAGUGGAGCCUGCGGCUUAAUUUGACUCAACACGGGGAAACUUACCAGGUCCGGACAUAGAGAGGAUUGACAGACUGAUAGCUCUUUCUUGAUUCUAUGGGUGGUGGUGCAUG
rnacentral:rRNA from 1 species